rnacentral:rRNA from 1 species
AUACGGAGGAUCCGAGCGUUAUCCGGAUUUAUUAGGUUUAAAGGGUGCGCAGGCGGAACUGUAAGUCAUCGGUGAAAUCCUACAGCUUAACUGUAGAACUGCCGGUGAUACUGCGAUUCUUGAGUAUAGUUGAGGUAGGCGGAAUGUGUAGUGUAGCGGUGAAAUGCAUAGAUAUUACACAGAACACCGAUUGCGAAGGCAGCUUACUAAACUAUUACUGACGCUCAUGCACGAAAGCGUGGGGAGCGAACAGGAUUAGAAACCCGGGUAGUCC